AUCGUAACUCCUACGGGAGGCAGCAGUGGGGAAUUUUGGACAAUGGGCGCAAGCCUGAUCCAGCAAUGCCGCGUGAGUGAAGAAGGCCUUCGGGUUGUAAAGCUCUUUUGUCAGGGAAGAAACGGUAGGAGCUAAUAUCUCUUGCUAAUGACGGUACCUGAAGAAUAAGCACCGGCUAACUACGUGCCAGCAGCCGCGGUAAUACGUAGGGUGCAAGCGUUAAUCGGAAUUACUGGGCGUAAAGCGUGCGCAGGCGGUUUUGUAAGUUUGUCGUGAAAUCCCCGGGCUUAACCUGGGAAUUGCGAUGAAGACUGCAAGGCUAGAAUCUGGCAGAGGGGGGUAGAAUUCCACGUGUAGCAGUGAAAUGCGUAGAGAUGUGGAGGAACACCGAUGGCGAAGGCAGCCCCCUGGGUCAAGAUUGACGCUCAUGCACGAAAGCGUGGGGAGCAAACAGGAUUAGAUACCCGUGUAGUCCUAGAGC
rnacentral:rRNA from 1 species